CUGAUGGAGGGGGAUAACUACUGGAAACGGUAGCUAAUACCGCAUAACGUCGCAAGACCAAAGAGGGGGACCUUCGGGCCUCUUGCCAUCGGAUGUGCCCAGAUGGGAUUAGCUAGUAGGUGGGGUAAAGGCUCACCUAGGCGACGAUCCCUAGCUGGUCUGAGAGGAUGACCAGCCACACUGGAACUGAGACACGGUCCAGACUCCUACGGGAGGCAGCAGUGGGGAAUAUUGCACAAUGGGCGCAAGCCUGAUGCAGCCAUGCCGCGUGUAUGAAGAAGGCCUUCGGGUUGUA
rnacentral:rRNA from 1 species